GACGAACGCUGGCGGCGUGCUUAACACAUGCAAGUCGAGCGGUAAGGCCCUUUCGGGGGUACACGAGCGGCGAACGGGUGAGUAACACGUGGGUGACCUGCCUCUAGCUCUGGGAUAAGCCUGGGAAGCUGGGUCUAAUACCGGAUAUGACCUCGCGGUGCAUGUUGCGGGGUGGAAAGCCUUGUGCGGCUAGGGAUGGGCCCGCGGCCUAUCAGCUUGUUGGUGGGGUGAUGGCCUACCAAGGCGACGACGGGUAGCCGGCCUGAGAGGGCGACCGGCCACACUGGGGCUGAGACACGGCCCAGACUCCUACGGGAGGCAGCAGUGGGGAAUCUUGCGCAAUGGGCGAAAGCCUGACGCAGCGACGCCGCGUGA
rnacentral:rRNA from 1 species